GACGAACGCUGGCGGCGUGCCUAAUACAUGCAGGUCGAACGAAGCUGUUUUAACUGGUGCUUGCACCGACUUAAACAACUGAGUGGCGAACGGGUGAGUAACACGUGGGUAACCUGCCCCAAAGCGGGGGAUAACAUUUGGAAACAGAUGCUAAUACCGCAUAACCACAGAAACCACAUGGUUUCUGUGUCAAAGAUGGUUUCGGCUAUCACUUUGGGAUGGACCCGCGGCGUAUUAGCUAGUUGGUAAGGUAAUGGCUUACCAAGGCAAUGAUACGUAGCCGAACUGAGAGGUUGAUCGGCCACAUUGGGACUGAGACACGGCCCAAACUCCUACGGGAGGCAGCAGUAGGGAAUCUUCCACAAUGGACGAAAGUCUGAUGGAGCAACGCCGCGUGAGUGAUGAAGGUUUUCGGAUCGUAAAACUCUGUUGUAAGGGAAGAACACGUACGAGAGGUAAUGCUCGUACCUUGACGGUACCUUACGAGAAAGCCACGGCUAACUACGUGCCAGCAGCCGCGGUAA
rnacentral:rRNA from 1 species